UUGUUUUUCCCUUCCUACCUUGCUUCUGUGUUAUUUAGAGGUGGCUUAUGGGCUCAGAUGCUACAACUCUAACAUGCUGACGCACCUUUCCCUGGGAGAUGAAAGUGUAGCAUUUAGGUUAGCACAUGAAGCAGAAAGCAUCUUCAAGCUUUUGGGGUGCUAAAAUGUGGUACCCAGCCUUCCUAUGAUGACCUCCUCCUUCCUAGGUGAAGGGGCCUGUUUUCCCAGCUGCCUCUCCUGUCCACUGACUGCCCCUUUUGGCUACAUACUGUUUGAUAUUUGCUGUUUCCGUCAUAUAACCGUUGCACUUUUCUCUCAUUCACUGGAUCUGACUCUUGCCCCAAGCUUUGCAUGGCUUGGUCCUUUUUGUCAUCCUGUUCUUGGUUAAAUGUCACUUUUUCAAAGAGCUGUUUUUCCCUUUGCCGCAUAGACAUCGUCCCUCAGUCACACUCUGUCAUAUUCCCUGGUUUUAUUUGUGUCGUAUUUCAUGCUCCCAAAUAUAUCUUCAUCAUUAGCUGGAGUGUUCACAGCUGCUCCCCCCUCCCCCCAUUAGAAAGAAAACUCUUGUCAAGGCAGAGGCCAUGGUGGCAUGGCCCACUGUAUCCCACAGUGUCUAGGACCCAGUCAGCACUCAGUGGAUAGCUGAGGGAAGGGUGACUUCUCAAUGUGCUCGUGUGAUCUGGAGCAGACUUCUUGACCUCUCUGAACUUCAGCUCCCUCACUUAGGACGUGGAGAUAAUAAACGUCCAUCUCCCCAGGGACACCAUACGAUUAAAUCCAUCACAAGCCAACUUGCCCAGAGCAACACCUGACACGUGUUCAUGCCUUUCUUUGGGAUCUAAAAUUUCAGCUCCGAAUGCUUGCUCUUGCCUCUUGGAGCCCAUACCUUGCUCAGGCGGCAGGCCUCUUAUUAGUUGGUUGCUCUUCCCAAUGGGAAGCUGAGCUCUAAGUUGAGUUACUAAUGACCUUUCUAUAGCACACUCUUCCCUUCCCACAAGGAUUUGGCAUUCAUUUUUCAAAAGCAUCAGUUCCUCCAACAGACCAUGGGUUAGGAAGUAUCUCUCUGUUCCAGCAGUGACUGAUGGAGUGAUGGGCCAGCAAGUGGGGGGAAAGGCAGGCCAGCACCAGAAUGUUGGAAGGACCUUCAAGAAACCAUUAGGGUGGACAGAUUGUUCUUGAGGAAGGAGAUGGAAAAUGAAGCAUCCUCAGCAACCUACUUGGUACUCUUGAUUAACCUCAUGUAAGAGAAAAUGUUCUGGUUUUACUUUUUUAGUUUACUUUUUAAUGAAAACAUUCUCUUGAGCUGGGAGGAAUCUUAGAACUCCUCUGCGGCCACCUUCACACCCUACAGUUGAGGAAACUGAGGCCUGCAGUGGGUAAGAUGUUUAUUCCUGGUGUCUUGGCUUGUCGGGGACCAGUGGGUCCACGCAGGCCUCCUCGUUCCCUGGCUGAUCUCUUCCCUCUCGGCUGGCUUCUCCCUCCCCCCAUGCCCAUGAUCAUAGUAUUUCUCGCUCUCACUUAGUUUCCCAAAUGUCUCUUAAGAAAGUCAGUCACAUCCAUGAUCAUAGUCAUCAUGUUGCCCUUUGUCUUUUCUUCUGCAGUCGAAGCCACCCUACGUCCACGAACCUGUCCUCACCUGACUUUCCCGAAUAGGUAGCAGCUCUGGGCCUCCUGUGUAAAUCCCCUCCACUCCCUCUGCCCCUCCUUGAAGGGCACUGCCAGCCAGGGCCUCCACCUGCUGUCCUGACCACUGUCCUGCACACGCCCUCCUUGCCUCUGAGCCCUCGACCCUGGGCAUCUCUAGAACCUCAGGCUUCUCUCAGCGCAUGGUUAAUAGUUAUGCUGAUGGGAUGUUCACUUUACGCCUGACAUCAUUUAAACCCUCUCAUCCUUUACACUAGUUGGCUGGUCUACAGGACAUUCUGCAUUCACUCUCAGUAUUUGUGUAUGGAGUGCCUUAAAAUGUCCAGUUAAUCUUAGGUAAACCUGUAUAAACCACAUGGUAAGCUGAUGAAAGUAUGGUCAACUCUAAUGAUUAAACAUGUUUCUUGAGGAUAAAGAACAUUUAAAAAAUUCUUGCCACCGUCAUCAAGAAGGACUAAACAUCAAAAGUGUCUUCCCAAAAGAUCUUCUUUAGCUAAUAAUAAAAAAACCCCUAAAUGCUAAGUAUAUCCUAUAAUUUUACAUCUGUUAAGUGAUUUGAACUGUGAAAUAUUCACGCUAAAAAACAGUUUGCCUUUCCAGCUGUUGAUCGGCUCUAAGCAUUGAACGUGACUGUACAGGAAGUCUUGCUCGCAGCCUCAAAGUAGCUCUCACUGCCAGGAGGCCUUUGGAGGAGGGAUGAGGAGCAGAUUAAUUUUUUUGCCUGCAAUUCAGCUGUUUUCGUGUUCUUUUAACAUGUCAAGUCUGUUUCAAAUUUGCCCCCAGAAUCUGAUGUAAUUCGAAAUGGCCACAAGCCAGUCUUCAUGGUCCUCUAUUCAGGAAGGGUGGAGUCUGCUUUGAAGCUAGU
rnacentral:lncRNA from 1 species